AAAGGAAGAGAACGCUCGCUGCUGAUGUAGUUCAUGAUUCAAAUAUUUUAUAUCACAGUGGCUGUUCUUUUUUGUU
rfam:Drosophila grimshawi strain TSC#15287-2541.00 scaffold_15112 genomic scaffold, whole genome shotgun sequence.